rnacentral:lncRNA from 1 species
GGUGAACACAAGAAAAUUUUAGGGAUGGAGAUUAAGAGAUAUGGAAUGAAAGGUAUCGUUUGGUUAACUGAUUACAUCAUAAGUGUAAUAUAGAUCUUUUUAAAUUUUUUACUUUUUUCGAACUUAGAUUGCAUUAAUUUCCUUAUUUUAGUUAGAUAUUUGUUUGUUAUAUUUUGAUGUGUUUUGUAGGUUAUAUGAGCAUAAAAGCAAAAGAAAUAGAAAAAGAGCAAAAUCACCAAAAACCAAUCGGGUGGAGUGAUCAGUGCCCCAAUUGCUGAACCCGGCUUCCAUAUAUUCUCCCAAGCCUCAGAGAAAUCAAACAAGUGGCAACAGAAAACUCACAAGUUGGCAAAGACAAAAAUCAACAAGUUGGCAAAAAAAUUCAACAAAGUUGGCAAAAAAAUCAACAACACUACUUGCUCUCUUUCUUUAAUAAUUUUUUUUUUUAAACCCAUGUGUAUCUCCCCUCUCUUUCUUUCUCUUUCAUCCGACGAUUUUAUCGUUUAAGUUACUACUUAUAUUUUUCGUCUAAAUGGCUGGGUUAAAUUUUCUUUAAUAUCAUUUUCUGUUAAGUUCUCUUAUUUUUAUUUGUUUACAUUACAUUAUGGUUAUAUACUCUGAUUCAUAUCCGCUUUUAAAUUAUCUAUUGUUUGCUUUACUAUUUAUUUAUUAUUUCGUUGGCUUCCACUUCUUCAUAUCUUGCUUCCCUCUUCACAUGGGUAACCUAAUUGGUUUGUAAGUUUUAUCUAUUUUAUUUUGUAUUUACUCUUAAUAUUUCAAAGAUUUUCAUAAUAAAAGAUGAUAGCUAAGUUCUUAAAUCUGGGGUUGAUUGUGAAUAUUGGUUGAAUGUUUUGGAGAUGAAAAAGGAUUAAGAAUUUUUGGUUUUCAAAGUUAUUAUUCAGUUUUAUCAUUCUUAUCCUUCAUUAUUCUAUAAAUUAUUGAAAACUUGGGAUGAUUAGAUUAUGUUCGGCACCGCUUAUUAUGCAAUAAACCUAAUUUAGUAUAUAGCAUUGCGUGAAUCGAUGGUAUUCAUCUUUAAAUUAACUACCAAUCAAUCUAAGAAAUGAAGUUUUAAAGAACAAAGGGUUUUAAUCCUAAUCUUCGAUACAUACUGGACUCACGAACGAAGUUUCCCCCAAAGGAUUUGAGUUAUAAACAUCUCACCUUUGGAAUUCCAAGACAACAAUAUCAGUUAAAAAAACGAUAACCCCGAGAUAAUUUCACAUUAAUUUACAAACAAUUUUCAUUCAAGUUAUUAAUUUGUAUUUGUCAAUAGUGAGAACUCAAACAAAUUUCAAAAACAAUCAGAUUUUUAGUUUUUUUUAAAAAUUUUUUUCAUCCUUUGUGAUUAAUUGAGAGGGAAACUCUUCUUCCUUUCAGGCCUUGCUCACACAACUACCCUGUGAAUUCGACCUCGUACAUGCGAGUUAUAACUACUCGCUCGGCUCUCUUAGGGUCUAUCUAUUCAAGCGCGCGUUUGGCGAGAGAUCAGUUUUGGCGCCGUUGCCGUUGAGUUGAAGGAACGAGCAAAGCGCUAAAAAAAAAAAAAAACUUUAAAAAAAGUUUUUGAACUGUUGACCACCGAUUUUUGACUUUGAUUUUGACCAUCAAUUAAAAAAAUAAAAAAAAAUUUUGACUGUUGACCACUCGAAUGUUGACUGUUACUGUUUGAAUUUUGACAUGUCAAAUAAAAAAAAAAAAAAUUUUAAUUUUUUUUUUAUGGAAUUUGAUGUGUUGACAAGGAUUUGCAUACUAUUUGCAACAUUGAUCUUGCAUGUCCCAUUGGGGCUCGGAUAAACAUAGAUACCUUUUACGAGUUUUGACCCACCAUCAACCGGUUACGCACCUCCCAGAAUCUCGUUAGUGGUCGACCUAGAUAUCUUUUCUAUGGAAGCCAAAUGAAGAAGGGAGGGAAACCCAACUUUGUCCCAAAAAUCAAAUGCAAUGCUUAACCCACCAAUGGUGGAGUGCCGCAAAAUCCUCCCUCCAAAUCCGGCACAUGGCUUAAACAAGGGGUGAUAACAUGGAAGGCGGGAAGCAUCCCUGGAGGCAUUGGAAGCUCCCCCCCUUAAUUUUUUUUUCGAACAUUGAAAAAAAAAAAAAAAAAAAAGAGAUUACCUGACCUGACCGCGUCAACACCGAGUUCAUGCAUUGUUUCCCACCCCCACAUGCUUACUCUGAACAAUAGACCCAGGUAGAUGAAAUGCUUCCUCAAUUCAUGGGGUGUUCGGAAGCCUUAUGCCUUUAUUAAGGAAUCUUGGAAGAUGCUGCUCAUUAUUGAUGGACAAUUCUUGUCCAGGGAAUUCUUUCUUCUCAAACUUUUUCUUUUUAUUUAAAAGAUACUGCUAAGACAUCGUCAAUUCUUGAGACCGCAGUCUUGUUCGUCUCACUCUUUUGGCAAACUCUUCAAGGAGAAUUUUGCAAAAGUUUUUUCAGAAAAUAGAACAGAAAGCAUUUAGACGUCGGCCAAAUUGUUCAAAAUUUUCUCCAUGUUAGGGGACAACUUCUUCAAUUGUUGGGAGCGUUUUAAGGAGCUUCUAACCUCUUGGCCCCACCAUGGUUUUUCCGAAUGGCACGGUAUCACAUCUUUCUACGCCUCUCUUAUGCCCCAACUAAAACAAUUUGUCGAGACUAAUGUGCGCAGCAGGAACUUUCUGGAUACGCAACCUCAUGAAGCUUAUUCCUAUUUUGAUUACCUUGCAAAUUUUGACUUGAGAUUGGGCAUUCCACAGGGAACUCAGAAUCCCGAAGGUAGGCUACCAACAAGGGAAAAAUACCAUUGAAAGAGGUUGAGCGAUGUGAAUGCUAGGCUUGCCACCAUGGCAGAAAUUAGAAGCCCUAGAGUUUUACAAAGAUUAAUGCAGUAUGGAGUGAAGAGCCUAAGAAGUGUGUUUGUGGCCGUGUGUGAGACCAAAGAGCACGACAACCAUAUUGUGCCCGGUCAUUCCAGGUAUAAGAAAAGCCUUGCAAUAACCAGUCAAAUGCUAUUGAUUACUAUGCCAGGAGCUCAGAAACCCAUACUCCCAAUACCUAUAACCCGGGUAGAGAGCUCAUCAAAAUUCGGAUGCGCAAUUAGGGAACUUCAAAUCCCCCAGCAUAUCAGGAGGGUUUUCGCAACCUCAGCAUUAUCAGACCUCUUCUACACAUAACCCACAGAAUUAUCAGGCCUUUUACACAGUUACAUCAUUCUCGCUCUAGCCAAAGCCAUUCCAACCUCCACCUCAAGCUCAACCAACACAUAUCACCCCACAUAAAAGGUUGUGGAAGAUACCCUCCAACAAUUCAUUCAAUCCCCAAGGAGGGUAAAUUCACAGGUUGAUAAGAUGUUGGAUGACAUUAAAGUCAAUUAACUUUCUCACGACAACCUUGACCUUACUGAGAAAGGGUAAGUUACCUACACACACCUCAACCAAACCAUCUAGGCAUGUGCAUUCUCUGAUUCUCAAACCAACCACUCUGUCCAUGAGCAAGUUUCAAGCCAUCACUAUUUAUAAGAAGUGGUAAGACUAAUUGCAAACUAUUCUUCCUAAUUGAUCCUAAUGGUAGGGAAAGGCGUCUAAAUAGUUUUGACGAUGACGAUUGGGGCGAUAGAGAGACUGGUGAAAAAAAAGAGAGUGAGGUAUUGUCGAGAGAGGUGAGGAUAAAAAGAAAAAAAACUUGGUUAGUACCUAAGAGGAGGAAGUCUUAAGGGAGAACAUGAGAUUUUUGCUCCAUCCCAUUCCCCCAUCGGUUAGCCAAACCAAAUAACAUUUGAGUUCUAAAUUUAUAGACUUUCAGUUCCAAACAAGUCAAAAUAAUCUACCAACCUCUCUUGGAACCAUAAAACAAUGCCCUCUUAUGUUUAAAUGUCUUAAGGAUUUAUGCACAGUUAAGAGGAGGUUAAUGUUAAGAGAGAAUUCCUUCCUUGUCUAAGGAUGUCCAUUUCCUAGUUCAAAGCAGGUCAAGACCCCACAAAGUAUAAUAUCCGGUGUGGUCCUAACCGUGACAUGGGUGUCAUAGGAGACCAUAGGAUAGAGGGAUGCCUUUUGGAUUUGGGAUCGAGUGUGAUUUAUUGCCAAUAUCUGUGUAUGAGAAAUUGGGAUUAGGUGAGCCUGAAGCCUACUAGAUCACACUUUCCAACAGCAGAUCGCUCUAUCACAAAGCCCCAAGGGGGUGUGGAAGAUGUUUAGUAAAAGUUUGAUCAAGUUUUACUACCCAGCGGAUAUUUUGUGGUUUUAGAUACUCAACCAACCGGUUGUAGACCCCUAUCCAAAACCAUUUCCUAUUACAUUUUGGUCGACCUUUUCUAGCCACAUGUGAUGCCAUCAUUCAAUGUGCAGGGGGUCUCUUGAAAUUGCCUUUGGAAUAUGGCUGUUGGAACUCUUAACUGUUUAAUUCAGGAAACAAUCAGGGGAUUUUAGAGGAUCAUUCGGGAAGUAAAUCUUAUCGAAUCCAAUAGUGCAAGAGCACUUUGAGAGGCAGUGUGGGUAGAAAUGCCCUUAGCAGAAAUUGAAUGGUUGGGAGGGUAUGACUACUUGGAAGUUGAGAAAGUUGAAAAUUUUGCUGAAUGAUAACGGUCCUAGAGUUUUGUCCUGUAAUGACGGGGGUUCAAUGGACCCACCACUUUUGAGCUUUUGACUCCUAAUCCUAUUAAGCCCCAACCAUCAUAACUUGAGGCUCCUACAACCCUAAGAAAGCCUUUACCUCUACUCUUAAAUAUGUUUUUUUGGUGAAGGUUGGUUUAUUUUGAAUCUAUCCGUAGUGAUAUCCUCAUCACUACUGAAGCUCAGGAGAGGAAUUUUGUUGAAAAGUGCGCAAAAGAAACCGAAGGCCUAGGUUGGACACCUCGCCGAUUUUUACAUGGCAUUAUCAUCCCCCUUGUUCACUCAUCGCAUUAUUUAAGGAAGGAGCUAAGGGCCGGUGCGCCCAAAUGCAGUGGCGAUGGAACCCAACUAUAAGGAAGUUUGUUAAGGGUGGUGCAAAGCUCUUGAUACGGUAUUAUAAUACCCAUUGCCGAUUCUAAAUGGGUGAGUCCACCAAGUUUUGUUCCCCAAAAGUCUGGGGUAACGGUAGUCAAAAUGAGAAUAAUGAAUUGAUUCCUACCCACCCCCAGCGACUUCAACUGGGUGCGGAUUGUGCAUUGACGAUACCGGCGCCUUAAUGCCGUGACCGACCAAGAUCAUUUUUCCCUUCCCUUCCUUGACCAAGUCUUAGAGAGUGUAGCGGGCGGCUAUUAUUGCUUCUUUAGAUGGUUCUAAUGGCUAUAAUCAUGGAAAUACCUGGACCUACUAAGCAAGACUACCUUCACGUGUCCAUUCGCACAUUUGCUUCCACAAGCGCUGCCAUUUGGUUAUGCAAUGCUCCCCCGCCACCUUGUUUUAGAGAUGUUAUGAUUAGCAGUUUUAGUGAUAUUGGUGGAACGCAUUUUGGAGGUAUUUUUGGAUGAUUGUUUCGUGUAUGGGGGACACCUAUUACCAAUGGUUCUUGAAAAUCUUGAAUUGGUACUUAAGGAUGUGAAGAGAGCAAUCUUGUUUGAAUUGGGAUAAAUUUCCCUUCAUGGUGACACCGGGUAUAGUUUCUUUGGCCACAACAUUUCUGGGAGGGCAUGAGGUAGAUAAUUCUAAGGUAGAGCUCCAUCCAAAAGUUACCUGCCCCUCGGAAUGUAAGGGAUUUUAGGUCAUUUUUUUGGUCACUCAGGUUUUUAACCUUACCGGCGUUUCAUUCAAUUUUAGUGCCUUUCUAGGCCUUCUGUGUUUGCCCUCUCUUGGCAAAAGACGCUCCAUUCAAAAUGAAUUUCGUUCGUGGUCAACUAGUCUUUUGACAAUUGAAACUCACUUGACUACGCUCCCAUAAUCCACCUCCUGAUUGGUGCCUACCUUUUGAAUUAUGUUUGAGUUGCUAGUGACUUCGCCGUAGGGGCCCGUUCCUGGGCCCAAAAACAUGAGAAGAAACCCUCAUGUGCUCCAUUACGCAAGCAAAACAUGAAUGAGCCCAAGUGAACUAUACACCACCAGAGAAGAUUGUUAGCCAUUGUCUUUCUUCUCCGCUUUAAUACAAAUUUCGUUCGUACUUAGUGGGGUCACAUGGGAUAGUUUUUUCAAACCGACCACGCUGCCAUUAAGGUACCGUCUUGACCAAGCAAGAUGCAAACCUAGAUUGAUUAGGUGGGAUUCUCCUUUUUCAAGAAUUUAAUCUGAAAUUAGGGACAAAAAGGAGUGGAAAACGUUGUUGCUAUCAUUUAUCACUCCUCCUUUUUGAGCAGCUGGCAGAGGAUACUCUCUUAUCUGUGAAACGUUCCCUGACGAACAAAUUAUGUCUUGUCAACACUGUGAAUCAGUCUUUGAAUACCGUGGUAUGCCUACAGUAGCUAACUAUUUGGCCACAAAAUCAAUACCUUCCAAUUGGUCCUCAUGGACAAAAAGCGAUUCUUUCGGCUAGUAAGACCAUUCUUUUUGGGACGAGCCAUAUUUGUUCAAAUAUUCUUCAGAUCAGCUUUGAGGAGAUGUGUACCUGAUGAUGAAAGUUCAAGUAUCACAUAAAUUUUGGUCACUUCUCAAGCUUGUGGGGCAUUUUUCAUAUCAAAGAAAACUGUGACAAAAAUCUUACAAUGCCAGACUAUAUUGGCGCCUCAAUGUUCAAAGAUGUUUCUAGGUCUUUUUGUUUAGGCUGUGAUGAUAUCAAAGCUAAUGGUAGCCUUACUAGGAAACAAUGAUGCCCCUUAACCCUAUUCUAAGUUUAAGAGUUUUUGAUUGUUAAGGGCAUUGACUUUCAUGGGACCAUUUCCUAGUUCUUUGGAUAUCUAUACAUCUUGGUGGGCGUUGAUUAUGUUUCAAAAUGGGUAGAGGCUAUCCCUUCACGGACCAAUGACCAUUCAAAGUUUGUGGUCAAAUUCUUAAAAGAAUAUCAUUUUCUCUCGGUUUGGUAUCCUCGAGCCAUCAAUAAGUGAUGGUGGAUCCUAUUUUUGUAAUAAUAAGCCAAUGGGGGGUACUCGUUAAAAAAUAUGGAAAUUGUUCAUAGGUUGGCACAGCCUAUCAUCCUCAAACCCAAGGCCAAGUAGGUUGGCAAACCAAGAGAUUAAGCAGUUUUAGAAAAAACUGUUAAUCCUAACCGAAAGGUGGGCCUUGAGGUUGGUGGACGCUUUAUGGGCAUAUAGGACAGCUUACAGACCAUCUAGGGUCUUCUCUUAUAGGCUUAUUUACGGAAGGCGUGCCACCUUCUGGGAGAGAUAGAACACAAGGCCUUAUUGGUGUCAAAUCCGUCCAUUCAAUGAGAAUCUUUUGAGGAAGCAGCUCUCUUCGAAAAAAUUGUCAACUAAAAUUGAACUUGAGGAACUAAAAAUGAUGCUUCGAAAAUGCAAAAAUUUCAAAGGCCAAAAGAAAUUCCGUCAUGACCACAAAUUCAUCGUAAAAAACAUUUCGACGUUGGUCACAAUUUUCUUCUUUACCAUUCUCGAUUACAUCUUUUUUCAUCAUGAAAUUGAGAGUAGAAUUGUCCCGGCGCCAUAUCAGAUCACGAAUAUUU